rnacentral:rRNA from 1 species
CAGCCGCCGCGGGAAUACGAAGGGGGCUAGCGUUGUUCGGAUUUACUGGGCGUAAAGGGUGCGUAGGCGGACUGAUAAGUCAGGGGUGAAAUCCCAAGGCUCAACCUUGGAACUGCCUUUGAUACUGUUAGUCUUGAGUUCGAGAGAGGUGAGUGGAACUGCGAGUGUAGAGGUGAAAUUCGUAAAUAUUCGCAAGAACACCAGUGGCGAAGGCGGCUCACUGGCUCGAAACUGACGCUGAGGCACGAAAGCGUGGGGAGCAAACAGGAUUAGAUACCCCUGUAGUCCCUGUCUCUUAUAC